UCAGCACGGCUGUCAGAAACUAUCCCCGUGGUCCCUCGCUGUGCGUGCAGUGAGAGCAGAAAGUGAAAGUAAACUCUCUCUCAGUCUCUGCACUUCUGUUUCUCUUAUCUCCACAGUGUUGUCUGCAGCCCAGCACUCUCACACAGUGGUGAUGGAGGAUAUGGCUGUUUCUCUUGGCUUCUAACUCCAUUGUCCCGACCUGAUACCCCUGCUGAACACAAUUACAAUCAUGCACAUAAGUCUACGCGGAAUGUGAUAGAAAGAUGUUUUGGUGUGCUGAAAUCUAGGUUUCGGUGUCUGGAUAAGUCUGGUGGCCUUUUGUUGUAUAGUCCCUCGAAGGUGACUCAAAUUGUGUUCUGCUUUCUUCAUAACAUGUGUUUGCAACAUCUGCCACAUGUUGAGAAGGAGGAGGAGGAUGAAGAAAGCAGCCAGCAAGCAGAAGAAUUAGAAACAUCUGGUGAUACUUGGAGUACAGAUGUAGGGAGGCAGGUUAGGCAAGAGCUCAUCACUCGCUAUUUCUAAGCUUCUUACACACAAUGUGCUAUUGUAUGGCUCAAGUGGACAUACAUAUCUUUACUGGAUGUGGACAAGGCCAUUUUGCUUGGAUUCCAUUUCAUGUUUUACUUACUUUGUUUGAUACUCACAAUCAAGAUGAGGGGAGUGUGGUUGACGUCUUGGAGGUGUGUCCAAAAUUUGGAGUGUGGGGACCGAACAUACUGUGGAUAUUCUUCGUGGCGGUGUAGCCUGCUGUGGUUGGCCCUGGACAUCAGACCUUGCUUUCUUUGCUGCCACAGGUUUUUUUGUGGUGGUGUCUUACAGAAGUCCCACUUAUGCUGCUCCAGACUUCUUUUGAUGGACCUAUUAUUGAAAGUGAAAUUUUGUUAUGGCCAUUCCUUUACAAACAUACCCUAUACUACAAUGGACACUUUACCUGCUUCCGCAGCAUCAUCAUCAUCAUCAGAUGUGAUGGGAGUUACUGUAGGAUGAGUAGUACAGCUUUUUUCUAACACUGUAAAAAUAUAAUAAAAAAACAUGGAUUCAUGCUA